rnacentral:rRNA from 1 species
GUUAAGCGACUAAGCGUACACGGUGGAUGCCCUGGCAGUCAGAGGCGAUGAAGGACGUGCUAAUCUGCGAUAAGCGUCGGUAAGGUGAUAUGAACCGUUAUAACCGGCGAUUUCCGAAUGGGGAAACCCAGUGUGUUUCGACACACUAUCAUUAACUGAAUCCAUAGGUUAAUGAGGCGAACCGGGGGAACUGAAACAUCUAAGUACCCCGAGGAAAAGAAAUCAACCGAGAUUCCCCCAGUAGCGGCGAGCGAACGGGGAGCAGCCCAGAGCCUGAAUCAGUGUGUGUGUUAGUGGAAGCGUCUGGAAAGGCGCGCGAUACAGGGUGACAGCCCCGUACACAAAAAUGCACAUGCUGUGAGCUCGAUGAGUAGGGCGGGACACGUGGUAUCCUGUCUGAAUAUGGGGGGACCAUCCUCCAAGGCUAAAUACUCCUGACUGACCGAUAGUGAACCAGUACCGUGAGGGAAAGGCGAAAAGAACCCCGGCGAGGGGAGUGAAAAAGAACCUGAAACCGUGUACGUACAAGCAGUGGGAGCACGCUUAGGCGUGUGACUGCGUACCUUUUGUAUAAUGGGUCAGCGACUUAUAUUCUGUAGCAAGGUUAACCGAAUAGGGGAGCCGAAGGGAAACCGAGUCUUAACUGGGCGUUAAGUUGCAGGGUAUAGACCCGAAACCCGGUGAUCUAGCCAUGGGCAGGUUGAAGGUUGGGUAACACUAACUGGAGGACCGAACCGACUAAUGUUGAAAAAUUAGCGGAUGACUUGUGGCUGGGGGUGAAAGGCCAAUCAAACCGGGAGAUAGCUGGUUCUCCCCGAAAGCUAUUUAGGUAGC